rnacentral:misc_RNA from 1 species
UCCAUCUCAACCAGGUGCGUUCGCGGCCCUCGAGGGUUCUCUCUCGGGUGGUAGGGGUAACACCCUCACGCGGCGCAUUUCUGAAUCCUUUCUUUACGAGCACCUUUCGUUCUCCUUCGGUGGGGCAACCUGCCGCUGGAACUUAACAAAACCUUUUUUUGCAUCUAGCAUUACCUGUUCUGAUACAAACAAUCGUUA